rnacentral:rRNA from 1 species
GUAGGUGGCAAGCGUUGUCCGGAAUUAUUGGGCGUAAAGCGCGCGCAGGCGGUUCUUUAAGUCUGAUGUGAAAGCCCACGGCUCAACCGUGGAGGGUCAUUGGAAACUGGAGAACUUGAGUACAGAAGAGGAAAGCGGAACUCCACGUGUAGCGGUGAAAUGCGUAGAGAUGUGGAGGAACACCAGUGGCGAAGGCGGCUUUCUGGUCUGUAACUGACGCUGAGGCGCGAAAGCGCGGGGAGCAAACAGGGAUUAGAUACCCUGGUAGUCCACGCCGUAAACGAUGAGUGCUAAGUGUUAGGGGGGUUUCCGCCCCCUUAGUGCUGCAGCUAACGCAUUAAGCACUCCGCCUGGGGAGUACGGCCGCAAGGCUG